rnacentral:rRNA from 1 species
GACGAACGCUGGCGGCGUGCUUAACACAUGCAAGUCGAACGGAAAGGCCCGGCUUUUGUGGGGUUCUCGAGUGGCGAACGGGUGAGUAACACGUGAGUACCCUUCCCGUGACUUUGGGAUGACUUCCGGAAACUGGGGCUAUAACGCGAUAGGAGCUCGUGCGGCAUGGUGGGGGUUGGAAAGUUUCGGCGGUUGGGUUUGGAUUCGCGGCUUAUCAGCUUGGUGGUGGGGUAGUGGCAUACCAAGGCUUUGACGGGUAGCCGGCAUGAGAGGGUGACCGGCCACAUUGGGACUGCGAUACGGCCCAGACUCCUACGGGAGGCAGCAGUGGGGAAUAUUGCACAAUGGGCGGAAGCCUGAUGCAGAAACGCCGCGUGCGGGAUGAAGGCCUUCGGGUUGUAAAACGCUUUCGCCUGUGACGAAGCGGGAGUGACGGUAAUAGGUAAAGAAGCACCGGCUAACUACGUG